AGCAGUCGCCGCGGUAAUACGAAGGGGGCUAGCGUUGUUCGGAAUUACUGGGCGUAAAGCGCACGUAGGCGGAUAUUUAAGUCAGGGGUGAAAUCCCCGAGCUCAACUCUGGAACUGCCUUUGAUACUGGGUAUCUUGAGUAUGGAAGAGGUGAGUGGAAUUCCGAGUGUAGAGGUGAAAUUCGUAGAUAUUCGGAGGAACACCAGUGGCGAAGGCGGCUCACUGGUCCAUUACUGACGCUGAGGUGCGAAAGCGUGGGGAGCAAACAGGAUUAGAGACCCCCGUAGUCCCUGUCUCUUAUAC
rnacentral:rRNA from 1 species